GACCUGAUGGUGCAACGGUUAGCACACUUGCUUUAAUUUGACAGUUGGUUAUGAACUUGAAAAAUUAAGCAAGAAACCCCCGUUCGACUCGGGGUCUGGUCG